rnacentral:ncRNA from 1 species
UGACCGAAAAGGCAAACCAUUCGAAAGGGUGGGACGCAAAGCCGCAGGCCUGAAUGCCCGGGUUUCGGGCAUAAUGGCGGCUGGGCCGCCGAA